rnacentral:lncRNA from 1 species
AAAAUCUAUUACUUCAGGACUUUCCCCAUGGUAGAAUCUAGUGAUAUAAACUUAUAAACUUCCUUAAAGACAACGUACUGUUAUUCACGUCAGUGUUAGGACUUAAACUACUACAGUAAUUCACUGGGGCCGGUUUUGUGCUGUGACAUGUAAAACCUAGUCCUUACCUUAGAGAGCUUCCAGCUGAACAGGGAACCAAAAUAUGUCACCAGCCCUAAUUCCAAGUAGCACACUGUAUUUAGUAAUCGUUCUCGGGAAGCUUUUUGAGUAAAAAAGAAAGUGGUUGUUAUUGUAGACAGUUCCUCAGAAAGGAACUAUAUGCCAGAAAAGACUGGUUAAAAUAGAGUUUUAAGACCAAUUGAAUUAUUUGGAAAUAAAGAUGAGAGGAAAA